rnacentral:rRNA from 2 species
CAGCGUUAAUGUGCGAGUGGGGAACGGGGGAGUAACACCUGGGCAAACUGCCCAAAAGAGGGGGAUAACACUUGCGAAACAGGUGCUAAUACCGCAUCAACCGGCUGACCGCAUGGUCGGCCCGGGCAAAGACGAGGGUCUUCUGCUCUCUUUUGGAUGAGCCCCCGGCGUAUUAACUAGUUGGUAAGGUAACGGCUUACCAAGGUGAUGAUACGUAGCCGAACAGAUAAGAUGAUCAGCCACCUUGUUGACUGAGACACCGCCCACCACUCCUACUGGAGGAAGCAGUAGGGAAUCUUCCUCAAUGGACGCAAAUCUGAUGGAGCAACGCCGCGUGUAUGAAGAAGGUCGUCGGAUCGUAAAAUACUGUUGUCAGAGAAGAACACGUGAUAUAAUAACUGCUAUGACGCUGACGGUAUCUGACCACCAAGUCACGGCUAACUACGUGCGCCAGCCGCGGAAUACGUAGGUGGCAAGCGUUGUCCGGAUUUUUGGGCGUAAAGGGAACGCAGGC